rnacentral:misc_RNA from 1 species
GUUAUAUAAUUUUCCAUUGAGGAGUGCUUCGAUCUUGUAAUUUAUUUGUUAGUUGGUACCCAUUUUUGGAAGUUUAACUCAAGUGGAAUCAGGGCUGCUUUAAAUUUCAACAUUUUGAUGUUGUGCUCCUUGUAUUGCCUCAUUUUUCUUGUAAGUUGUGACCCUAUGGAUUUUUAUUUUUGAGGACAUCGAGUUUAUCUCUAUAUUUAAUAGGGAUAAGUAGAAAAUUUUUUAUUGCA